AUGCAGUCGAGCGGAUGAAGGGAGCUUGCUCCUGGAUUCAGCGGCGGACGGGUGAGUAAUGCCUAGGAAUCUGCCUGGUAGUGGGGGAUAACGUCCGGAAACGGGCGCUAAUACCGCAUACGUCCUGAGGGAGAAAGUGGGGGAUCUUCGGACCUCACGCUAUCAGAUGAGCCUAGGUCGGAUUAGCUAGUUGGUGGGGUAAAGGCCUACCAAGGCGACGAUCCGUAACUGGUCUGAGAGGAUGAUCAGUCACACUGGAACUGAGACACGGUCCAGACUCCUACGGGAGGCAGCAGUGGGGAAUAUUGGACAAUGGGCGAAAGCCUGAUCCAGCCAUGCCGCGUGUGUGAAGAAGGUCUUCGGAUUGUAAAGCACUUUAAGUUGGGAGGAAGGGCAGUAAGUUAAUACCUUGCUGUUUUGACGUUACCAACAGAAUAAGCACCGGCUAACUUCGUGCCAGCAGCCGCGGUAAUACGAAGGGUGCAAGCGUUAAUCGGAAUUACUGGGCGUAAAGCGCGCGUAGGUGGUUCAGCAAGUUGGAUGUGAAAUCCCCGGGCUCAACCUGGGAACUGCAUCCAAAACUACUGAGCUAGAGUACGGUAGAGGGUGGUGGAAUUUCCUGUGUAGCGGUGAAAUGCGUAGAUAUAGGAAGGAACACCAGUGGCGAAGGCGACCACCUGGACUGAUACUGACACUGAGGUGCGAAAGCGUGGGGAG
rnacentral:rRNA from 1 species